AUUGAACGCUGGCGGCAGGCCUAACACAUGCAAGUCGAACGGUAGCACAGAGAGCUUGCUCUCGGGUGACGAGUGGCGGACGGGUGAGUAAUGUCUGGGAAACUGCCUGAUGGAGGGGGAUAACUACUGGAAACGGUAGCUAAUACCGCAUAGCGUCGCAAGACCAAAGAGGGGGACCUUCGGGCCUCUUGCCAUCAGAUGUGCCCAGAUGGGAUUAGCUAGUAGGUGGGGUAACGGCUCACCUAGGCGACGAUCCCUAGCUGGUCUGAGAGGAUGACCAGCCACACUGGAACUGAGACACGGUCCAGACUCCUACGGGAGGCAGCAGUGGGGAAUAUUGCACAAUGGGCGCAAGCCUGAUGCAGCCAUGCCGCGUGUAUGAAGAAGGCCUUCGGGUUGUAAAGUACUUUCAGCGGGGAGGAAGGCGAUAAGGUUAAUAACCUUGUCGAUUGACGUUACCCGCAGAAGAAGCACCGGCUAACUCCGUGCCAGCAGCCGCGGUAAUAC
rnacentral:rRNA from 1 species